rnacentral:rRNA from 1 species
GACGAACGCUGGCGGCGUGCUUAACACAUGCGAGUCGAACGGAAAGGCCCUGCUUUUGUGGGGUGCUCGAGUGGCGAACGGGUGAGUAACACGUGAGUAACCUGCCCUUGACUUUGGGAUAACUUCAGGAAACUGGGGCUAAUACCGGAUAGGAGCUCCUGCUGCAUGGUGGGGGUUGGAAAGUUUCGGCGGUUGGGGAUGGACUCGCGGCUUAUCAGCUUGUUGGUGGGGUAGUGGCUUACCAAGGCUUUGACGGGUAGCCGGCCUGAGAGGGUGACCGGCCACAUUGGGACUGAGAUACGGCCCAGACUCCUACAGGAGGCAGCAGUGGGGAAUAUUGCACAAUGGGCGGAAGCCUGAUGCAGCAACGCCGCGUGCGGGUUGACGGCCUUCGGGUUGUAAACCGCUUUCGCCUGUGACGAAGCGUGAGUGACGGUAAUGGGUAAAGAAGCACCGGCUAACUACGUG